GUCCCUCUGGGCGGCGGAGGCGGAGCGCGAGGCGUGGCGCGGCGCCGAGCUGGAGGAGCGGCUAGCGCGUCUCCGAGGCGAGACGACGGCGUGGCAGGCCAAGGCGCUCUCCGAGCAGGCUGCCGCGGUCGCCCUGCACGCGUAGCUGGUCGGUCGAGGAGCUCGCCGCCACAGCGGGCGACGUCGGCCAGCCAGGCGGAGUCGUCGGCGUCGGCAUUCGUGGACCCUCGCUGCGCAGGGCCGCCGCCAGACCACGCGUGCCUAAGCUGCCGCCUCAGGCCGGCCUUCGUGGUGCUCCUCCCCUGCAGGCACUGUCCCUCUGCGGCGGCGCCAUGCCGUGUCCCGUGUGCCUGUGCGUGCAGACGGAGAGCAUGGAGGCCAUCCUCUGCUGAGCUUUCCCCGCCUCUCGUCAUCGAUCAUCCGGCCGUCCACCUCGUGAGCCGAGAGCAGGUUUUCCAUGACAUUAUGGUGGCGCCUAAUUUUGCUGGUCGUGUGUGCCGGAUAUCGCGAUGUCAGCAGAUUGGCAUGAAAUGUUGUCGAGAAGGGAGAAGGCCACAAACUUCAAACCAGACUAUGAUAUUGAUAUCCAUAUGAAGGUCUUAGCUAUGAGUGGGCAAGAAUCCAGUAUUCUUACAGGCUACAAAUUGAAGUGCUGAUACGGUGGUAGGAAAUGAGAUGAUGAUGGGUAUUUUUGGUGCUUCAUUUGCAUGUCCAGUACCAUAGCUCAUAACCUGCUUGCCUCUAGGAAUGUUGCGAACAACGAUUUCACUGGUUAGAUUCCCAAUCAGCUUAAGAAGAUAAACAAUCUACAGACUAAAGGAAUUCUUGGAGCAAAGGACCAGCGCACGGUCACCUCCAAAGCAAGACCCAGACUGCUUCUACAAGGAGCUGUACAAAGCUAUGUGCAGCGGGUGCCAGAUAAGCUGCAAGUAACUAAGAAGGCAGUACUUCAUGUCUUCCCUGCUGCUCUCCCGCAAUCGAUCCGGCUCUCAUGCCUGUGCCCGCGCUGUCAACUCUCCGGGCUCGAUGUGCCUUUCCACGCAGCACCCACCUCCACUCACACUCCCACCGUGGUGACCCCCUGUUCGUCGACGCGUCGAUCCAUGGUCAGCCAACCAGUGAAAACCUUCUUCGCAAUCACUCUGUAUGGUACUGCCAAUUCACAUUUUACAAGUGUUGUUUGGAAGGCAUCUACCAACUCCAAUGCUCUCUUCUUGAUAGCGGCUGCACAUAACCUAUUGUGUUUGAAGUUAGGAAAGGAGAUUGGUGUUAGUAUCGGAAACCCAUGAUUACUUGGUUCGAGGUUGCUAGCGUGCCAGCACUUUUUGGGCUUUUAGUGACUCCUUAUUUAAUUUACUCCUGAAGCCCCAAAAUUAGCUGUUGAGAAGCUAAAGAACAUGGGUCCAAUAACAAGAAAUGAAUGCAUCAUGAUUGGAACGAUGCUUUUUGCACUCUCACUACGGAUUUUUGGAAGCGAAUGGAGGAGGUUGUUCAUGCUUUGGCUACCAGCCAUGCUUCAACCGAUGCCAUGACGAAGCAGCCUGUGAAGGUGUACGGGGAGCUUUUCAACAUUUUACUAGAUAUACCAAAUCAUACGCAGAAGAAUUCUUUCUCCACCCGCACGAGAUAGUUGGAGAACCAGCACCAGUGAAGUCCAAUUAAGUGAAACCAAGUUAACAUUGAGUGUGCAGCAAACUGGAGAUGUCGACCAGGAGCUCGGAGACCGCAUCUUCAGGACAGAAGGUGUGGGAUAACGAAAAAAAGCAAAGAGAACUGACUUAUGUACUACAAAUGGAGACACUGAGGAAUAGAAUCCUCCCACCUAGAAAGAGCAGAAGACACAACUACAACUCCAAAGCUGGUAGAUGACUAACAGCUACAGGAGGACCACCACAGGAGCAAUGGGAAUAAAAUAUGAUGACUUUGGAAAGGAGAGCUGGAGAAGGCUGCAGGGCAUUACAUCUUGCAUAAAUUUCUUGCAUACAGGACGGAUCUCCUUGCUGAGUGUUGCUGAAAACAUCAUGACUUGCUUAUCAUGAGGAGUCAUUUUGAAGAUCUCCUGAACAUCUCUCCGCAUGUCUGCAUAAUACAUAUAUUUGUCAAGGAUAGCAAUUAUACUUUAUACUAUAAUUAAACAUGUUGACAAUAGCAGAUAGAAAAUUACCAAGUGAUUCUA